CCUACGGGUGGCAGCAGUGGGGAAUAUUGGGCAAUGGACGAAAGUCUGACCCAGCGACGCCGCGUGCGGGAUGAAGGCCUUCGGGUUGUAAACCGCUUUCAGCAGGGAAUAAGCGCAAGUGAAGGUACCUGCAGAAGAAGCACCGGCUAACUAUGUGCCAGCAGCCGCGGUAAUACAUAGGGUGCAAGCGUUGUCCGGAAUUAUUGGGCGUAAAGAGCUCGUAGGUGGUUUGUUACGUCGGUUGUGAAAUUCAGGGGCUCAACCCCUGACUUGCAGCCGAUACGGGCAAGCUAGAGUUUGGUAGGGGAGACUGGAAUUCCUGGUGUAGCGGUGGAAUGCGCAGAUAUCAGGAGGAACACCGAUGGCGAAGGCAGGUCUCUGGGCCAAUACUGACACUGAGGAGCGAAAGCGUGGGGAGCGAACAGGAUUAGAUACCCUGGUAGUCCACGCCGUAAACGGUGGGCGCUAGUUGUGCGAACCUUCCACGGUUUGUGCGACGCAGCUAACGCAUUAAGCGCCCCGCCUGGGGAGUACGAUCGCAAGAUUAAAACUCAAAUGAAUUGACGG
rnacentral:rRNA from 1 species